rfam:Oryza glumipatula chromosome 1, whole genome shotgun sequence.
AAAAAGACAUACCCUGGGUUUCCGUGUCUAACAUUUGACUGUCCGUCUUAUAUGAAAUUUUUUUAUAAUUAUUAUUUUUAUUGUUGUUAGAUGAUAAAACAUGAUUAAUACUUUAUGCGUGACUUGUCUUUUUAAUUUUUUUCAUAAUUUUUUCAAAUAAGAUGACGGUCAAACGUGGGACACGGAAAGUUAGGGUUUGUCUUUUU